rnacentral:rRNA from 1 species
GACGGAGGGCACCACCAGAUGUGGAGCCUGCGGCUUAAUUUGACUCAACACGGGAAAACUUACCAGGUCCAGACAUAGUCAGGAUUGACAGAUUGAAGUUCUUUCAUGAUUCUAUGCAUGGUGGUGCAUGGCCGUUCUUAGUUGGUGGAUGUGAUCUGUCAGGUUAAUUCCGAUAACGAACGAGACCCCAGCCAUCUAACUAGCUGUAACUACUUCGGUAGUGUUUGCGCAAGCAUGAACAGCUUCUUAGAGGGACUAUCUGUGUCAGCAGGUGGAAGUUUGGGGCAAUAACAGGUCAGUGAUGCCCUUAGAUGCUCUGGGCUGCACGCGCGCUACAAUGGUGCAUUCAGCGAGUUUAACCUUGCUUGAAAAAGCUGGGUAAUCUUUAAAAUGCAUCNCANUUGGGAUAGAUGAUUGCAAUUAUUCAUCUUGAACAAGGAAUAUCUAGUAANCGCAAGUCAUCAACUUGCAUUGAUUAC